AAUAAACGCUGGCGGCGUGCCUAACACAUGCAAGUCGAGCGAGAAAGCUCCUUCGGGAGUUAGUAAAGCGGCGAACGGGUGAGCAACACGUGAGAAUCUACCCUUUAGUGAAGAAUACCCUCGAGAAAUCGAGGCUAAUACUGCAUACGUCCCUUCGGGGAGAAAGAUGGCCUCUUUGCUAUCGCUAAAGGAUGAGCUUGCGUACUAUUAGCUAGUUGGCGGGGUAAAGGCCCACCAAGGCAAUGAUGGUUAACCGGCCUGAGAGGGUGUACGGUCACACUGGAACUUAGACGCGGUCCAGACUCCUACGGGAGGCAGCAGUGGGGAAUAUUGGACAAUGGGCGAAAGCCUGAUCCAGCAAUGCCGCGUGAGUGAAGAAGGCCUUAGGGUUGUAAAGCUCUUUUAGUAAGGAAAAUAAUGAUGGUACUUACAGAAAAGCACCGGCUAACUCCGUG
rnacentral:rRNA from 1 species